GGCAGAUACCAUUGCCAGACACCUCCAGAACUGUGAGCUAAAUUAACUUCUUAUCCUAUAAAACACUCAGGUCCAAAUAUUUUGUUACAGGAACACAAAAUGGGCUACAAAGGUUGAGAGGAACAUGAAUGAAUCUGAAAGGGACAGAUGAAUAAUUAUGACGUCAGCUGAAAUCUGGAUCUGUGAUUUGUGAUGAGGAGUCAUGAAGAAACUGCCUGGGAAGGAAGAUCUGACAUUGAAUGCUUGCUCAUCAAUGCUCACUGCUGCCCUGUUCCAAAUGCUAAGAAACAGCUUAUCAAUUGAUUAAUGGAUAAUGAAAACAUGGAGUAAACAAUGAAAUAUCACUCUGCUAUAAAGAAAAAUUAUAAAAUUCUCAAGCAAAUGGAAGGAGAUAAGAAAUAAUCAUUCUUAGUGAGUCAGUCCUGGCGACCCUGACCAGCCCCCUUGAACUUCACACUGCUGAGCUUUCUACUUGGAAAGAGCCCACCAGAACUUAGAAGACUCUGGAUCUAAGCGCCCAGAGGACUGACCACCAAGCAGGCCUUUGCUAAGCUGUGUGGUGUGAGAUGAGACACUUCAGCGUCCAACCUGUGUCUUGUAAAAGCAGAGCUGGCAGCGAUACCUGCCUCGGGUUUUUUUUUUUUUUUUUUAAUGAACGUUAAAUGCAGACAAGUCUGGUAGAACCAUUCAACAAAAAUGGGUUUCUUU